UACGAAGGGUGCAAGCGUUACUCGGAAUUACUGGGCGUAAAGCGUGCGUAGGUGGUUCGUUAAGUCUGAUGUGAAAGCCCUGGGCUCAACCUGGGAAUGGCAUUGGAUACUGGCGACCUAGAGUGCGGUAGAGGGGUGUGGAAUUCCCGGUGUAGCAGUGAAAUGCGUAGAUAUCGGGAGGAACAUCUGUGGCGAAGGCGACACCCUGGACCAGCACUGACACUGAGACGCGAAAGCGUGGGGAGCAAACAGG
rnacentral:rRNA from 1 species